GAAGGGUGCUAGCGUUGUUCGGAAUCACUGGGCGUAAAGCGCGCGUAGGCGGCCAUUCAAGUCAGGGGUGAAAUCCUUGGGCUCAACCCAAGAAUUGCCUUUGAAACUGUAUGGCUGGAGUACUGGAGGGGAUAGCGGAAUUCCUAAUGUAGAGGUGAAAUUCGUAGAUAUUAGGAGGAACACCGGUGGCGAAGGCGGCUAUCUGGACAGUAACUGACGCUGAGGCGCGAAAGUGCGGGGAUCAAACAGGAUUAGAUACCCUGGUAGUCCGCACUGUAAACGAUGGAUGUUAGCCGUUGGGGGGUUCCCCCUCAGUGGCGUAGCUAACGCGUUAAACAUCCCGCCUGGGGAGUACGGUCGCAAGAUUA
rnacentral:rRNA from 1 species